GGGCCCGCACAAGUGGUGGAGCAUGUGGUUUAAUUCGAUGCAACGCGAAGAACCUUACCAACCCUUGAAAUCUAGCGAAGUUCACAGAGAUGAGAAUGUGCCUUCGGGAACGCUAUGACAGGUGUUGCAUGGCUGUCGUCAGCUCGUGUCGUGAGAUGUAUGGUUAAGUCCAGUAACGAGCGCAACCCCUAUCCUUAUUUGCCAGCGCGUUAAGGCGGGAACUAUAGGGAGACUGCCGGGUGAAACCCGGAGGAAGGCGGGGACGAGGUCAAGUCAUCAUGGCCCUUAUGGGUUGGGCUACACACGUGCUACAAUGGGAAGUACAGAGGGAUGCGAAAGCGCGAGCUGGAGCCAAACCCUUAAAGCCAGUCUCAGUUCGGAUUGGAGUCUGCAACUCGACUCCAUGAAGCUGGAGUU
rnacentral:rRNA from 1 species